rnacentral:tRNA from 1 species
GAUGGCGUGGCCGAUGGUCUUGAGCAGCGUGCGGUUCACGCCCGCGCCCACCUCGUCGAGGAAGACGAUCUUGGCGUCCACCAUCA